AGAGUUUGAUCCUGGCUCAGAACGAACGCUGGCGGCGUACCUAACACAUGCAAGUCGAACGAGAAAUUCCGAUUCGUCGGGAGAGUAAAGUGGCGAAUGGGUGAGUAAUGCGAGGGUAAUUUCCCCUUGAAUUAGGGAUAACUUUGCGAAAGCGAAGCUAAUACCUAAUAAGACUACGGUCUCUUAGGAGACAGUAGGAAAAGAUGGCCUCUGUUUCAAGCUAUUGUUUAAGGAUGAGCCCUUGUACUAUUAGCUAGUUGGUGAGGUAACGGCUCACCAAGGCGAAGAUGGUUAGCUGGUCUGAGAGGAUGAUCAGCCACACUGGAACUGAGACACGGUCCAGACUCCUACGGGAGGCAGCAGUGAGGAAUAUUGCGCAAUGGGGGAAACCCUGACGCAGUGACGCCGCGUGAGUGAUGAAGGCUUUCGAGUCGUAAAGCUCUGUGAGGUGGAAAGAAAUGUUCCAGUACUAAUAUUGCUGGAAUUUGACGGUACCACCAGAGGAAGCACCGGCUAACUCCGUGCCAGCAGCCGCGGUAAUACGGAGGGUGCAAGCGUUGUUCGGAAUUACUGGGCGUAAAGGGCGUGUAGGCGGUUUGGCAAGUCAGAUGUGAAAUCCCUUAGCUCAACUAAGGAAGUGCAUUUGAAACUGUUUAACUAGAGUACAGGAGGGGAAAGUGGAAUUCCCAGUGUAGAGGUGAAAUUCGUAGAUAUCGGGAGGAACAUCAGUGGCGAAGGCGGCCACCUGGACAUUUACUGACGCUGAGACGCGAAAGCGUGGGAGCAAACAGGAUUAGAUACUCUGGUAGUCCACGCCGUAAACGAUGAGAACUAGGUGCAGCGGAUAUUGACCUCUGCUGUGCCGUAGCUAACGCGUUAAGUUCUCCGCCUGGGGAGUACGGCCGCAAGGCUAAAACUCAAAGGAAUUGACGGGGGCCCGCACAAGCAGUGGAGCAUGUGGUUUAAUUCGAAGCAACGCGCAGAACCUUACCAGGGCUAGACAAACUAAGAAUCCUGAAGAAACUCGGGAGUGCUCGCAAGAGAACUUAGGUCCAGGUGCUGCAUGGCUGUCGUCAGCUCGUGUCGUGAGAUGUUGGGUUAAGUCCCGCAACGAGCGCAACCCUUAUCCUUAGUUGCCAUCAUUUAGUUGGGCACUCAAAGGAGACUGCCGGGGUCAACCCGGAGGAAGGUGGGGAUGACGUCAAGUCCUCAUGGCCCUUAUGUCCUGGGCUACACACGUGCUACAAUGGUCGGUACAAUGCGCUGCGAAGCCGCGAGGUGGAGCGAAUCGCAAAAAGCCGGCCUCAGUACGGAUUGCACUCUGCGACUCGAGUGCAUGAAGUCGGAAUUGCUAGUAAUCGCUGAUCAGCAGGCAGCGGUGAAUACGUUCCCGGGCCUCGUACACACCGCCCGUCACACCAUGGGAGUCGAGUGCUCCAGAAGUGGCCACGCUAACCCGCAAGGGAGGCAGGUCCCCAAGGAGUGUUUGGUAACUGGGGUGAAGUCGUAACAAGGUAACC
rnacentral:rRNA from 1 species